UAAUAGCUCGUUUCGAACGGUUUGGUUAUUCUAGAACCGAUGGCGCUGACGGAUUUUGAGUUUGACGCAUGGAUUUCGAGAAAAUCCGAAAAUACGUGUUUUAUAUGUAUUUGUGCGUCAUUUUGGCCUUUCGGAGAGAGAACGGAUUUCGUCGCGAAUCCGUGAUCGAUCGAGGUGAACCAAAAUUGUAGGUUUGUUGUCUCAGAUGUGCUGAUCGCACUGGCGUGAUCCGUUCACAAAUCUGACGGACGGAUCUGCGGAGAUUGCGCGUUCAUCGAGGAGAGGUUGGUGAUCGCAAAACGGUAAUUUUGCAAAAGUUGCGACAUUUUAUGUACUGUUUCGCGUGAAACCGGACGUGGAGGGGUAUUCGCGUGUUUUACACGCGCUGUGGAGGACUCAGUAAGUAAAUCUGAGUUUCGGAGGACUUAUUUGUAUUUUUG
rnacentral:lncRNA from 1 species